rnacentral:rRNA from 1 species
AUUGAACGCUGGCGGAAUGCUUUACACAUGCAAGUCGAGCGGCAGCGCGGGGCAACCUGGCGGCGAGCGGCGAACGGGUGAGUAAUACAUCGGAACGUACCCAGUUGUGGGGGAUAGCCCGGCGAAAGCCGGAUUAAUACCGCAUACGACCUGAGGGGGAAAGUGGGGGAUCGCAAGACCUCACGCAGUUGGAGCGGCCGAUGGCGGAUUAGCUAGUUGGUGGGGUAAAGGCCUACCAAGGCGACGAUCCGGAGCGGGUCUGAGAGGACGACCCGCCACACUGGAACUGAGACACGGUCCAGACUCCUACGGGAGGCAGCAGUGGGGAAUUUUGGACAAUGGGGGCAACCCUGAUCCAGCCAUUCCGCGUGAGUGAAGAAGGCCUUCGGGUUGUAAAGCUCUUUCGGCAGGAACGAAACGGUAGGCUCUAACAUAGCCUGCUAAUGACGGUACCUGAAGAAGAAGCACCGGCUAACUACGUGCCAGCCGCCGCCGUAA